GAAUGAGCCUGCAGGUCCAAGGUCGUAUCCUAAAUUUAUCUUUUAGUAUGUUGUCUUUUCAAGUAAUUACAAAUCUUAAUAAAAUUCUUUUGCUAAAAAUUCUGGUGACACAUCUGUCUCUCUCCCUCUCUCUAUGAAUGUGCUAUUUGAUCCCACAUCUUAUGGGGAUAGGUCUCAAGGUUAACAGAGGAGGGUAAAAACGUGAUAAAUGUUUUUUUUAAAGUGCAUAUUUGUGGUUGAGCCUCUUAAUUUGGAGAAGUUAAAGUUUCAAAUGGGAAGAUAAAACCCAAGAUGAAGAGACAUCAAUGUGUGGAGUAAAAUAGGAAAAUUACAACUAUAUAGCUUUCUCCAACAUGAUGGAUUUGCUGCUAGUAAACAUUGUUUACAGGAUCACACGGAAAGAGAAAUGAUAACAAAAAUGAGGGGAAAAAUAAUGAACUCAUUUCUAUUCGUUUUAGUUUAUUGUCAUAAUAUGGUUACUUUUUUACCAUUUUUAUAAUUGAAAUGAUACACAAUCUCAUCCACAGGAUGAUUAUGCUUUUCAUGAAUUGUUAUUUAUGUUGGUACUGACUUUAUUGCAUUAAAUCUUUAUAUGUAAUUUUGUUGAUUUUAGCUCCGUGCUCCAUUUUCUUAUUGGUUAUAUUAGGUGCCAUCCUACAGAAGAGCAUCAUGAGGAGGAAGCUCGAGAUAGACCAGAAAUUAAUGGUCAUGAUUUUUCACAACGACAUCUGAGCAACUGGGUAGAUGCAAAUGAAGAUGAUGAUGAUGAUGCAGAUGAAAAUGAAUUGUGUGUUCAGCCAACGCCACCAUAUUAUGAAGAACAGUAGCACUGAGUGAUCUCUGUCACUAUGAUAGGCAGAUGCUUCUGCUUACUUCUGUU
rnacentral:misc_RNA from 1 species